rnacentral:rRNA from 1 species
UACGGGGGGAGCAAGCGUUGUUCGGAUUUACUGGGCGUAAAGGGCGCGUAGGCGGCGCAACAAGUCACUUGUGAAAUCCCCGGGCUCAACCCGGGAACUGCGUCCGAUACUGGAAGGCUUGAAUCCGGGAGAGGGAUGCGGAAUUCCGAGGUGUAGCGGUGAAAUGCGUAGAUAUCUGGAGGAACACCGGUGGCGAAGGCGGCAGUCCUGGACCGGCAGUUGACGCUGAGGCGCGAAAGCCAGGGGAGCAAAG